UGUGUUUGAAAUUGUUUAACACUGGCAUAUGAAGUUGUUUAACAUUGGCAACUAAAAAGCAAACAUUACGUGAACCCAAGAAAACUGGCUAGAGUGACAGCAACUCACUGGAUCUAGAUCAAAUCUUCCACUUUACAGGUAGAGAAACUGAGGCCCAGGGAAGUCUAGAAUUUUCCCCAAACUCACAGAGGGAGUUGGUGGCAGACUUUGGCCAGGGCUUGAGUAGACUAUGUCUCAGUGCGGAGUUCUCACCUCCCAGACCUUGGUAAGAAGGGGUUGGAGUUUGUCUGUCUCCUUGACUUUGAUCUAAACAGAGAGGCCCCAACCUGACGGUGAAAGGCAGUAAGAUGCUAUGAACAAGUAUGGCUUUGGGGACCUGGGGUCUGAAUCUGUGUUGGUUAGGAAUGCUUUUGGCUUCAAGUGAUGGAAAAUCUGAUUUACAGUAGCUUCAGCUUUGGAGAUGUUUGCCUGUGCAUAUAAGUCCAGAAAGCAAGGUCUGAGGUCACUAAGAACAGACUCACACUCUGCCCAUCCCUCCACCUCAUCAUCCAUCUUCCUCUCAUUGACUCUUUACCAUCGGGGUGGCCUCAUGGUCUCCAGAUGGCUGCUGAACCUCUGGUUAUUGUCAUUGCAUUGAAAAACGGAAAUUGUUGAUGGGAAUGUGCUGGUGUCCGAGCAGGGAGAGAAUUCUUACAUCUCCUCACCUUCUAGAAGCAAAAUCUUCCACAGAAGGAAUCUUCGCAGAUUUGCUCUUGUAUCUUAUUGGCCACAAAACGGUCACAUGCUGAUAUGGUUUGGAGGUUUGUCCCCUCCAAAUCUCAGGUUGAAAUGUGACCUCCAGUGUAGGAGGCGGGGCGGGUGGGAGGUACUGGAUCAUGGGGGCAGAUUCCUCGUGAAUGGCUUGCUGCCCUCUCUGUGGUAAUCUCUGAGUGAGCCCUGGCUCUGUUAGUUCACAAGAGAGCCGUUUGUUUAAAGGAGCCUGCCUCCUCCCCUUCUGUCUUGUUCCUGCUCCCACCACGUGACACUGCCUGCUCCCCCUUUGCCUUCCAUGAUCGGAAGCUUCCUGAGGCCCUCACCAGAAGUAGAUGCUGGAGCCAUGCUUGUACAGCCUGCAGAACCACGAGCCAAUUAAGCCUCUUUUUCCUAUAAAUUACCCAGCCUCAGGUGUUUCUUUACAGCAAUGCAAAAGGCCUAAUACACAUGCCCAUGCCUAAUCAGGGACCAAUGUGACCUUUCCUGAGGUGAAGUUAUCUUCACCUAAAAAUAUCUAUAUAAAUUGGGGUUCUGUCCAAAAGGAAUAAGGAGGGUAGGCUGGGCGCCAUGGCUCAUGCCUAAAAUCCCAGCACUCUGGGAGGCCAAAGCAGGCAGAUCACUUGAGGUCAGGAGUUUGAGACUAGCCUGGCCAACAUGUCAAAAUCCUGUCUCUACUAAAAAAUACAAAAAUUGAGACGAUCCUGGCUAACACAGUGAAACCCCGUCUCUACUAAAAGUACAAAAAUUAGCCGGGCAUGGUGGCGGGCGCUUGUAGUCCCAGCUACUUGAAAGGCUAAGGCAGGAGAAUGGCGUGAACCUGGGAGGUGAAGUUUGCAGUGAGCCGAGAUCGCGCCACUGCACUCCAGCCUGGGCGACAGAAUGAGACUCCAUUUCAAAAAAAAAAAAAAAAAAGAGGGAUGGGCUCACGCUUGUAAUUCCACAUUUUGGGAGGCCAAGGCAGGUGGAUCAUUUGAGGUCAGGAGUUUAAGACCAGCUUGGCCAACAUGGUGAUAUCCCCAUCUCUACUAAAAAUACAAAAGUUAGCCAGGUGUAGUGGUGGGCACCUGUAAUCCCAGCUACUGGGGAGGCCGAGGUGGGAGAAUCGCUUGAACCUGGGAGGUGGAAGUUGCGGUGAGCUGAGAUCGCACCACUACACUCCAGCCUGAAUGACAGAGCAAGACUCUGUCUUUAAAAAAAAAAAGGAGGGUGACUUUUGGUAGGCAAUAAUGCUGUAAAAUGGGUAUGGCAGAUGGUAUUUUGUUUCUUGCCCUCUCAGCAUCUAUUUCCUAUUUUUCUGAUGACAUACUUUGAUUUUCCUUCAGGUAGGCGUUCUCAGAACAGCAGCCUCA
rnacentral:lncRNA from 1 species